UUGUAUAAGAUAUCGAUACCCGACAGUCGAAAAUUAGUCUGAACGGCGUAAAAACAUGCUGUGUCCUAACGAAAAUCUGUUCUGCGUAUCCUCGUAAGAAAUUACAAAACCGUGUUUAAGUGGAACCGAUCUCGGUGGUAAAGUGUCACGUGGGAUGUGAGAAUCGCGGGGUAUUCUUUCGAUGGACAAUAUAUAGUGGGCAAGUAAAUACCAUUCGGUUCACUGUUGUACGGUAGUAAGUAGGUUUCAAGUGGAUCACUGCGAUAACUGAUGAGUACAAUUUAAGCUUGAAGUAUUCUAAACUUCAUUCCAUUUUACAAGAGAAAAUAUUGAAGAAAAGAGGACCUGACAAAAGAAGAAUAGCCAAUAGGUAUCAUGAUUUCAUAAUCUGAGGAUAUCUAUGAUUUAGAAAUAGCUCAUCAGAAUUGUUUUACGUUGUAACCAACAGACAGCAUUGCUAGAAUAGUUGUUAACAUUGAAGAAGCACCUGAAGAAAGUUUCAUGAUAUAAUUUUGGUAUCGUUAUAUUAAAAUAAUUUAU